UAAGGACCGAUUCCUUUGGGAAAUCCAUCCAAACACGUUACAGUGCGACCACACGGGUAUUUAUGGGAUGUCUCUGGCUAAGUAAAUUGUUUUCACAUGGGAGUUGGUGUGCCAAUGGUUGUGGAAUGCCGAGAAUGAGGAGACGAAGUGUUACACAUUUUUGCCCAUCGUGGGUGUCUUUUUGCCUCUAUUGUGGCGUGGUACCGGUAGGAGUAGGAGGUAUCCUCGGUAUUUCCUGAGUGGAUGAUGGCUAUCAUUGCCUGAUACUUGGCUAUGGAUCUUAGCCCAACUAGGUGGCAUGCGAUUUUCAUGGGUUAGCUUUGGAAAGGCCUUAUCACGAACUUUCGUUGCCGACGGGUAAACGAUGUCAGUUUCGUGUCGUGUGGGUAAAGCGUGCAACCUCUGCAGAGAUUAAUGAACUGUUCGAACAGCCGUGCCCACGGUCAAGGGCGAGUGUAAGGUGUUUCUCAUAGCGUAGAUUUGUUUGAAAAAUGUUUGUGAAGAAGUGAUUAUUGGGAAGGGUAACGUUGCCAGAGUCCGCCUGUGUGGCAGACGGCUAACCUGGGUGGUUAGGAACGGGUCUGUGUGACCUAGGGUGUCGUCCGACACCGAGGUGUUGUUAGGGCCAUGAUGAUGGCGUUGUUGUGCUGAGAUAUCUGUGUGGUCUAUGUGUUGCUGUGAGAAGAAACUAAUAGAGGAACAAAUUAAUUGUUGUUCGUUAAUCGUGACAAGUUGUUGCAAAGCAACUUGUGGAAUGGGUCGAGGCGUGAGCCUCCUCCCGACAACUAAAACUUGACUCAUUCACUAGGAGUUUUGUGAAAUAAAUCACUUUGCCAAAAAGGCAGCUUUCGCAAAUAAAACCUUAGCCUCAUUGUUUAAACCAAACAUGUCAUUUUUCCCCUGGCUUGCUGAGUACGUUAAGUAAUCACCCUUGCCCCUUAUAUCAAUAUAUAGAGUAUGAAGAUGAAGACGUCGACCCGACCGCCAAGGAGUAUCUCUAGGAGCAAGCCGAGUAUGAAGACUUCUAGAUGUUUCGUGCCUAGCCCCAAGCCUCGCCUGUGGAAUAAGAUAGAUGCCUAGGUUCUUCGCCUAGUGCAUAGUUGCAUGGAGCACUGUUCGCUUCUGCGCCGUCGCUUUUAUGGUUUUCUGUAAUGUUGUGUUGCUCAUUUAUGGGCCUUUCCAUGAUAGCAACUUAUGUAAGGACUACUACCCAGUGAUGUAAUAAAGCAGUUUACUUUGAUUCCACAUUUAUUCUGUGUGUACCAGCUAGUGUAUCCUGGGAGUGGUACUAUAUCACAGGUAAUGCAUAACACCCCGGUGUAAGUUAGCUGUGUUAAUGGCUAAUGAAUGUCGGGGCAUUACAAUUUUUUAAAACCAUGAUGUAGAAUGUAAUGAUAUAGAUGAGUAUGUGUGUACUUAAGUUGUAAAUUGACUUUCUAGUCAAAGUAGAGCACCAACUCGCAAGCCAACCACUACACUAUUAGAAUUAUAUAUUAUGGAAUUGCUAAAUUUCAUUCCACAUAAAACCUAUACUUCCAAAUAAUGCAGAUUAUAGUGUGUUGGAUGUGCUUCACGAUUCGUGCUCUAGCUAUUCUCCUUCAGCUCCGACGACCUCAUCUUCUCUGGCACCGAUAGCACCCCAAACUUUGAUAUGGACCUAUGGAUUAGGAUCUCGGGAUGGGAUUAGGUUGUGAGAGGGUGGGGGAAUAGGAAGAAAGGGAAGUUUACCGAUUUUAGAUGGAUGGCUAUGAAAGGCAACCACCCGACUGUGGGAUAGCCCAACAGUGGGCAGUGAGGCUGCUGCAGUUCCACCAAAGCCACAGGGUCGAAAGCGGGUGGUGGCCCGGUGUUGGCGGCGGGGGCAAAGCAGAAUGACUGGUUAGGAGGUGGUGGCUGGUGGUGGUGGAUCUAGCAUAAAGGGAGCCAGCGUGGGGCCAGCCUGCCACCGAUGGCUUGAGGAAAGGGUAGGAGAGGGAGGGGGAGGUCGAGGAGGCCGCCCGGGGGAGAAGGCCUUGCCAACGGUGUUGACGCCUUCCAAUAGUCGGCAAGGCUAGGCAGCGGUACGCUGUGGCGAUAGUGGUGGAGGUGGCACGGAUCAGGCACUGGUGAGUAAUAGGGGUAUGAGGAGGAGUCAGGAGAAGGAGGAAAGAAGAAGGAGGUGUAGGGUUGUGUGUUGGCUAGGACGAUUCAAAAUUUGUGAUACUUCUAGAGGACUUUCUAUUAAAUAAUGUGUAGGCAGUCUUGAUAUAUUAUGUCUGGUUUACUCACGUUUGUUCAAACAACUACGAACAAGACGUGAGAAUUGAGAUCAUGGGUCGAGAAAAAGUAUGGACAAUUCUUCUUCUAUAAUUUAUAUAUCCUGUUAUUUUUCUAAUUUAGGGAGGUAGCAUAAUAAAAUGUUUAAUAUUACUUAUUUAGGACUUCCUAACCCCUUUUAUAAAAAUAAUCCUGAUUAUUAUUAUUAUUUUCCAUUUACAUGGCCGGUUAGUUGCUACGGAGUAGCAAAGUUCAGGUGUCACUGGUACAGAAAACCACAUUGGUGCCGGUUGGGAAACCACAUAGGUACCGGUUUCCCAACCGACACCCCCAAAGCGGCACCAAUGAGGAGAAAUGAUAGGUGCCGGUGUGUAGAACCGGCACCUAUAAGGUCCAACGAAUAAAAAAAAAAAUCCGGCUCGAUGUAUCGGCUCUAUUUGAUCCCCACAAUAUCUCAUCAAAGAGCAAUUCAUCAAUAUCUUCAUCCAUGAACAUCCUAUCCAACAAGAUUAAACAACGAGACCCAUCCAACAAGAACAAACAACGAGUCUCCGAGAUCGAGAUUGAAAGAUACCCAAGAACAUAAUUCCAUGACGCCAUUUGGGUCCAACUACGUACUAAAACUAUUAGUGUUCUUUAAUUUGUUAUGCUUAUCUGGUUCGGCUUAUUAUAUAUAUAGGGUUUUGUUCCUUGCUUACCUUAGUUAGCACUCACAUAGCGAAUCGCGAGGAGCUAAUAUAAUUAACAAAUGAUCAGAACCGACAGUGUGCUUAGCGUGCGUGUUUGUUUAAUUUGCCCAUCCAAAAUAAUUAUACCAUCUCGUCCUUUUUCCAUACUUUCAGUUAAUGAUUGUCAAUAAUAAUUUAUCUUUCCUCCUUAAGAAAAAAAACUAUAUUUUAAUUCAAAAGUUCACUAGACAUCAACAGACGAACACGUGUAUAUUCGAUAUACUACAGCGAGUGACAUCCUCUCAACAUAUAUAGCUAGAUAGCUAAUAAAUUACCAGAUCAAAUGGUAGUAACCCGCUCGAAAUUACUGCUAACACCAAUUUCCUCUUUGAUAUAUAUCCCACAAAUUUACUGUGGCGGAUCAUAGAAUUACCUCUAUAUAUGGGCUAAGAUCUAUAGAAACGUCAUGGAUGAAAACCAAUUAUUAGAUGCUUUGCUCUCUGAAUCUCUUGAUCACCUUAUUCUCACGUAUAAAUGUGCAUCAUUAAUAUUUCAAGACAAUUUUGAAGUAUGGAUGGGGCAAAGCACUACGAGAAUAUAUGCAAAGCAUCAAAAGAAGAUAUAUAUAUAUAUAUAUAUAUAUAUAUAUAAAUACUUGUAUGUCACAGUAUCGACCCCAGGAAAACAAGCAAGAGAGAAAUAUAUACUCGAGCAUACAAGGGCAAUUUAGUAAACUAACCUAAGGGUGCGUUUAGUUUACGCUAAAAUUGGAAUAUUGAUUGAAAUUGGAACGAUGUGACGGAAAAGUUGAAAGUUUGUGUGUAGAAAGUUUUGAUGUGAUGAAAAAGUUGGAAAUUUGAAAAAAAAAAGUUAGGAACUAAACCAGGCCUAACAAUGAUCAGAGCUUAGUGAUAAGACCCUAUAUAUAUCACCUGCAGGUGUCCUUGUUCUGACCUGUAUACCAUCCAUCCUUGCGAACACCCUCAUAUCUGAUUUAAUUAAUCAGCUGCAGUAUUUGAUUAGCUUAGCAUAUUUGAUUGUUAGAGAUUGUUAGAGAUUUAAUAUAAGAUUAUUAGAGAUGUAAUAUUCGAAACUUAAUUAGACUUAGCAUAUAUGAUUAUCUAGGGUUCUAAUACACGACACUUAGACUUAGCAUAUAUGAUUAUUUGAGUUUUAAUACAAGAUUAAUUAGUAGAGUUUUAAUAUUACGCUUAGCAAAUAUUUCUUCUAUGAACAGAUGGCUGAUCGCGAUGAGGAACAGAUACUGUAUGAUACAAUCGCAGAGGGAAGCAACGAGUACUGGAACGAAGAAGAGGGGAACGAGGAUCCAAACCAGUACUUGAACGAGGAGGGGAACGUGGAGAGGGAUGCAGAGGGGAACGAGGAUGCGGAGGGGAACGAGGAGGGGAACGUGGAGAGGGAUGCGGAGGGGAACGAGGAGGAGGCCAGUGGAAGUCAUCCCUCCGCUGGACAGAAGAGGGCACGUGGACAACGAGGUGCAGCGAAGAAGAUAGUGGGUCGGCACAUCAUAACUGAGGUGGACGAAGACGGCCGACCUAGUGCCCCGGCAGAAGCAGCCAAGAAUUUUGUACGCCAUAGCGGUUGGGUUGUGAGGGAUAACGUGCCUGUCAGCCAGGUGUACUGGCGCAGAACAAGGACACGCGGGGAUGAUGACAGCUUUGUCCCGGAAUCAGAGAAAGAGAUGCUGUGGACCACAAUGCUCGAGACGUUCACGCUCCCUGCGGGUACGGAGAACAUAGUGAAACAGUGGACUCUUAAGAAAAUGGCAGAACAGUUCCAAACCUUCAAGGGAGAUCUGUACAAGAAAUACAUCCUGAAGGGACUAACACCGAACUUCGACGUAUUCCCAAAGCUAAGGGAUCAUUGGGACGAGUUCGUUGCUUACAAGACAGGGCAACAAGGGCAAGCGAUGAUGGUCAAAAACAAGGAAAACGCUGCCAAGAAGAAGUACCAUCAUCACUUGGGGUCAGGUGGCUAUAGCGUCGCAAUACCGAAGUGGGAGGAGAUGGAGGCAAGAAUGAUUGAGAGGGGUAUCGAACCGGCCACCGCUAAAUGGCCGGAUCGAUCAAAGUUCUGGUACUAUGCUCACGGUGGAACGCUUAACCCAGUUGAUGGCUCCCUGGUCUUCAGCGAUCAGAUACGCGAGGCUGCCAGUCGACUAACGGACGCAGUGGCAGCCUCUUCUCAGGGCAUGUUUCGACCCGACAGAGAGAAGGACGAGCUGUCGCUCGCCCUACAGACUCCCGAGCAUCCAGGAUGAACACGAGGGAAAGGCGUUAUUCCCUGGAAGAUUGGAUUCAAGGAGGACAUCCACACGUACAGGAGUCGGAUGAGGAGCAAGAGAGAUACCGAGGCGAAGAUUGCAGAUCUUGAGUACAGGGUAUCGAGCUACGAGCUCAGCAUGCAAGAGGAGGUGGCAAGGAAGGUGGAUGAAUGCAUGGCAGCACAUCGGUCCCAGGAUCCACAGCCGUACAUACCUCCUCCAAUGGUCAGCCCAUCUGGCAAUCGUAGCUGCUGCGCCUCAACGGGGCAGGUAGGAUCAGAGAGCAUGGACACCAUGCAAACCCAGGACGAAACCACAUGCCCCGUUGAUGAGAUCACGCAGCGGACACCAUAUGAGCUGCAUAUUCCCUUCUAGAACUUAUCAAUCAAGGUAUGCUCGUAGUUUUAUGAUUUUUGACUUGUACGUUCCGCAAGUUGCUGCUUAGGUUGAUUACUAAUAGAUAACCUCUCAUCACGUGAAGGUGGCGUCGGGAAUGGCCAUCCCCACGGACAUUUCAGGGACUUACCACUGCAGGCCGAUUCCAGCAGGAUACUCGAGGGUCGAAGUUGAGCUGGUGGAAGCCGCGUACGAGGACCUCGAGUUGGACUACCCAGGAGGAGACGGUGAGACGCAUCUACGAGACACAAGCCACGCCAUUAUACUAUGGCCCAAGCGGUACAUCAUCCUCCCUGGGCGACAAGCGGCGUCUCGUGCACCAUCUCCUCCGGCUCCGCCGUCUCCUCCUGCACCAUCUCCUCCGGUUCCUCUGCCACGUCCUCCUGCACCAUCUCCUCCGUCUCCUCCGCCACCUCCUCUUGCACCAUCUCCUCCGGCUCCUCCGCCUCCUCCACCUCCACCUCCACCGUGUCCGCCUGCACCUCUCAAGACAAGGUCUCGCCAAGCUCCACCUCCUGCCAGCACAAGGGCAACGAAGAAGGCCAAAGUUGACACCACCAAAAACAAGGAGCCGCUGUACAAUUGCAGUCAAGAGGAGCUUGACGCUUAUGUGGCAGCAGAGGUGAAGAGGCAACUCAAGCCUCGGAGUCCUGAAAAGAAGAUGCCUAUUGACCCGAGCGUGAAGAAUUUCUUCAAGGGAAUGUCCACCACAAACAAGAAGGCCUUAAAGCUAUCGGACUAUGACCGAACACUUAGGAAAGCCUAUUACAAGAAGUCCAAACCAGUUCCUCAGCUUGGAGAACAACCAAACCAAGUGGUCGAGCCGUUGGUGACCGGAGAAGACUUUGGCAUAACGGAUUUCAUUUCGGACACCGGUCUAACUGUGGCCCAGUUGGUUGGAGGCGCACCAAUCUCGAAGGCGGAAGUGGCAUACAAGUUUGAACACGGUAAACCGCUUGUCAGGCCUGAGCAGCUGCAGUCCCUACCAACACAAAUGUACAAAUUCCAUGAACGGUACAUGGAAAUGAGCACCAAUGGUAAAGAGAUGUUCGGAGCAAGGAUCAGAAACCCCGACUUCUUGCAAGGAGAAGAUGUUCUAUGGAUCCAUUUCAAGGAUGUCUUCGAUCUGUACCAUCGGGACGCCCUCGACGUCUCUCUUCUAAGCGCAUGGAUGUUGUAAGUAUCUUUGAGUUCGAUUUGUUUCGUUCAAUAAUUAGCUCCUAGCAUAUAUGUAAGCAAUAAUAAUUUCCUUUCAUUGUUGUAGAAUGGAGAUUCAAAGGGCCCGACGGCGGGGGGUUUACGAUACUGGGUUCAUCGACCCUUGGAAAAUCAACACCGAAAUGCUCGACGAGUACGAGAAAGACACAGAGGACAAUCUCGUCCAUCUCCUAACGCAGCAGCAUUUCAAGACGUUCAUACUAUUGCCGUACAACAUAGAGUGAGUUUUUAUUGUCGUUCGAACAAAUUUCAUUCCCAUACAUAUAACAUGUACAUUCUGAUAUUUAUCUCAUCUCACGCAUAUUCCAGAUUCCACUGGGUCCUGUUCUUUUUCGACUUGGACGCAUGCAGAGUCCCUGUGUACGACUCAAUGAAUAAAGAGGAGAAGGUUUUUUACAAGGUCUUCCAACUGAUAGACAGGUAAUAUAAUGCUAUCUAUUCCAAAGUCGCGGGACUCUGUUGCUAUUAUGUUGAUCUCGGGUAAUAAUUAAUUAAUCAUAGCUUGCUACUGCACAUGUAGGGCUUGGGAUCGGUUCCGUCAAUUGGUCCGCGGGACUUGGAAAGAAAAACUUGGACGGAGGUUUCAUUUUCCAGUGAGUAUAUGCAUGAUCCAAAAUUAUAUUGAAUUGAAUCUCUAAUUACAGUUAAUAUAAAGAGUAUAUUAAAUCUCUCAUCGUU
rnacentral:lncRNA from 1 species